rnacentral:lncRNA from 1 species
ACCCAAAAAACAACCUUAUUUCUCUAAUCUGCGUCGAAUUGAUUCUCCUCCGUCGUCAGCCAUUCUCCCUCUCUUCCCUUCACCUGUCCUUUCCUUGCCACUCAUCAUCCAUAUCUUUGUUAUCGCCGAUCCCGGCCCUUCGUCGGAGAUCUUAUCGCCGCUACCUUUCCGUGGCUGGAGCUCUCUUUGCCGCACCUUUCCUGCGCC